GACAAGCACCGUAAAUGUCGUGAAGAUCCUUCAAACCGAAAAAGUGGAUUUCAUGCGAUGUUUGGCAGCCUUUGGAAUUGAUACCGCUGUUGCGAUACUACGAAGGAGAUCUGAAAGCUGCUCUACUGGAGGCUGGUGCCGAUGCUAUCCACUAUGUGUGGAGGCCAGUGAUCCAGAAUAAUGGGGCUGUGGACUACACUAUUCUUCCUAGGACGCUGGCACAACCAACUUUAGCAGCAUGCCAUCCAGUAGCGGCAGAAGCUCUUCAAACACAUAUCAGUGCUCUUCGUGCAUGGAACGAUAUCUACGGCGGGACCAGUAAGCCCGAGGAGUUUGUACUCUGCUUCUUCCUGGCGAAAUCGAACUAUGACGAAUUCGGCUUCCAGAGCUACCGCGACAAGUCCCGUAGGGUAACAAAACAAGCUGUGAAAGGUAUUCGCCAGUGCAAAGUGUUGCUGCGGUACACUGUUCCCGCUCCAUGUGCAAAGGAGAUGGUGAUUCCCAAGGGUGUCGAGAUUGUGGAUGACAUCGAGCAGUGCAAGUUUGACGGUGAAGUGUGCGAAACUAACUUUUUUGAUCCAGGGGAGGACCUCCGACGAGACGAGGAGGUGAGUAUGAACAAGAAGCGGAAGUUUGCCUUCUGCUGUUUGAAGUAGAAAGUUUGUGUCUCUUCAAGAAUGCAUAGGGACUUUCUCUGCCUUUCUCA